CCGUUCUCAAAGGGGUGCUCUAAAUAAACGAGCUGAGAUCAUACCCAUAGAACCUGGGCAGGUAAUGCUGCCAAGGAAAAGAACAAUAGUUGUAG
rnacentral:ncRNA from 1 species